GUGAGGAAUUUUCCGCAAUGGGCGAAAGCCUGACGGAGCAAUGCCGCGUGAAGGAUGAAGGCCUAUGGGUUGUAAACUUCUUUUCUCAGAAAAGAAUUAUGACGGUAUCUGAGGAAUAAGCAUCGGCUAACUCUGUGCCAGCAGCCGCGGUAAGACAGAGGAUGCAAGCGUUAGCCGGAAUGAUUGGGCGUAAAGCGUCUGUAGGUUGUUUAAAAAGUAUUCUGUCAAAGAUUAGGGCUUAACCCUAGAUAGGCAGAAUAAACUUUUAAGCUAGAGUUUGGUAGAGGCAGAGGGAAUUCCCGGUGGAGCGGUGAAAUGCGUAGAUAUCGGGAGGAACACCAAAGGCGAAGGCACUCUGCUGGGCCAAUACUAACACUGAGAGACGAAAGCGAGGGGAGCAAAUGGGAUUAGAAACCCCUGUAGUCC
rnacentral:rRNA from 1 species